ACAUACUCUUGUUACCAUAUGACACAUGAUCAAUGGAUGUUGGUUAAUUAUCAGUAAUGUAAGGAGAAGCCUUGAUCAGAUAACGGACAUCCAUCAAGCUCAAAAAGAAAACUUGUGUUUCCCAUAGUCACAAACGAUUGCGGUUUGUAUUUCCCAUAGCCAUCGUUCCCAGAGUAAAAAGCGUUUGUGGUUUGCAAUUCUCGGUUGUACCGCGAGUGG
rnacentral:lncRNA from 1 species